rnacentral:lncRNA from 1 species
UCAUAAUAUUAGUCUCCGAAUUUAAAAUACCGAACAAAGUUAGAACAUUACAAGUCUCGAGACCGCGAGUAGCGAGUUUGUCUUCACAUUACAAGUCGAUAUAUCGACCAUCCAAACUACCAUCACAUAUAGAAGAGAGCUGUGGUCAUCACGAUGAGCAUAAUCGCAAUGAAACUAGUCUUCAUCCGGUUCCUCCAACGCUCCCUCCUCUCUCCCGCUAGAUAGCGCGCAUAUCUAACUUCCGCCUCCGCCCUUGUGGUGUACCCUUUGUAACUGUUACCGCUGAAUCGGUGAACCUGUCUCCGACACUCCUCCCAGUCGUCGUAGACUCCGGGAACCUUACCCUUGUACACGACAUACGACGGCAUCUCUAUGCACUAGCCAAACAAAACGUUAGUAGCAAUUCACAGAGACAUACAAG